CCUACGGGUGGCAGCAGUGAGGAAUAUUGGUCAAUGUGCGCGAGCCUGAACCAGCCAAGUCGCGUGAGGGAAGACGGUCCUAUGGAUUGUAAACCUCUUUUGUCGGGGAGCAAAAGACGCCACGCGUGGCGUUCCGAGAGUACCCGAAGAAAAAGCAUCGGCUAACUCCGUGCCAGCCGCCGCGGUAAUACGUAGGGAGCAAGCGUUAUCCGGAUUUACUGGGUGUAAAGGGCGUGUAGGCGGGCAUGCAAGCCAGAAGUGAACUCUGGGGGCUUAACCCCCAAACUGCUUUUGGAACUGCGUGUCUUGAGUGAUGGAGAGGCAGGCGGAAUUCCCAGUGUAGCGGUGAAAUGCGUAGAUAUUGGGAGGAACACCAGUGGCGAAGGCGGCCUGCUGGACAUUAACUGACGCUGAGGCGCGAAAGCGUGGGGAGCAAACAGGAUUAGAUACCCCAGUAGUC
rnacentral:rRNA from 1 species